rfam:Anaerocolumna xylanovorans DSM 12503 genome assembly, contig: EJ36DRAFT_scaffold00019.19
GCCCAGAUAGCUCAGUCGGUAGAGCAGAGGACUGAAAAUCCUCGUGUCGCUGGUUCGAUUCCGGCUCUGGGCA